rnacentral:rRNA from 1 species
UACGAAGGGGGCUAGCGUUGUUCGGAAUUACUGGGCGUAAAGCGCACGUAGGCGGGUUGUUAAGUCUGAUGUGAAAGCCCUGGGCUCAACCUGGGAACUGCAUUGGAAACUGGCUUACUAGAGUGCGGUAGAGGGGUGCGGAAUUCCCGGUGUAGCAGUGAAAUGCGUAGAUAUCGGGAGGAACAUCCGUGGCGAAGGCGGCACCCUGGACCAGCACUGACACUGAGGCACGAAAGCGUGGGGAGCAAACAGG